GGAAGGAUCAUUAGCGUUUAGGUUGGAGAGCCUUUUGGAUAAAUGUGGACUGUUGGCUGUGUUAUGGGCCGCACCGGACGAGCCGGGGGCGCUGGAUCUUUUUGCGAAACUGUGAACAUGGGAUGAUGCGAAUAUCGAAAAAUAAACAACAACUCUUAGCAAUGGAUAUCUUGGUUCCCACAACGAUGAAGAACGCAGCGAAAUGCGAUACGUAAUGCGAAUUGCAGAAUUCAGUGAAUCAUCGAAUCUUUGAACGCAAGUUGCGCUUUCGAGAGCCCUCGAAAGCAUGCCUCUUUGAGUAUCGGAUCCUAUCUCGUACCUGGUGCGGAAAGUGAGGGUCGCCUGGGCAGGCGUCUCUUCAAGUUAGAUUGCGGAAAGUCCAUCGGGGGGAUUCUUGGAACGACAAUCCUAGCGUAUAUAUGGCAGAGAGAGAGAGAGUGUCCCUGGGGGGGCAGCUCUUCUCUACACACAAGAUCUCAAAUGAGGUAGGAGUACCCGCUGAAUUUAAGCAUAUUAUUAAGCGGAGGAAGAGAAACUAACUAGGAUUCCCUUAGUAACGGCGAGUGAAGUGGGAAGAGCUCAAACCGAAAAUCUCUGUCCCUUGCGGGCAGCGAAUUGUGGUCUAUGGAGGCGUGUUCAGCGUGCAGCGCCGGUCAAAAUCCGUUGGAACACGGUGCCUGGGAGGGUGAUAGCCCCGUACUUGGCUGGAUGUCUGUCGCGUACGAACCGCUCUCUAAGAGUCGGCUUGCUUGGGAGUGCAGGCCUAAGUGGGUGGUAAAUUUCAUCCAAAGCUAAAUAUCUGUGGGAGACCGAUAGCGAACAAGUACCGUGAGGGAAAGAUGAAAAGAACUUUGAAAAGAGAGUCAAAAGUACUUGAAAUUGCUGGGAUCGAAGGGAUGGCAUCUAGUAGUGGCUUGGGGAUUUUUUAGGUGAGGAUGCGGGCUCGGCCUAAUGUCAAUUGGCUUUUGGUCUUUGGGGUGGGGUCGCAGACCGUAUUCGAACCAGUUCUGUCCUCGAGCCUGGGUCAGGAUGGAUUCAUGGUGGUUUAGAAACGCUUCGGGAAGGUAGCUGUUGCCUCGUGUGACAGAACUUACAGACCGGGGCUGAUGGAUUGCUGGGGAUCGAGGUGCGAAAAACCACACCACUUUUGGGGGACUGGGGGCCCCGUGCAAUGGAGUGCUGUCGCUGGCGGGAUGCAAUGCUUCGUGUUGGUGCUACAGUACCCAGCGCGCGGUCGGCUCACUUGUGGGAUUUGGGAUCCUGACGAAAUGGUUGUCAUUCACCCGUCUUGAAACACGGACCAAGGAGUCUUACAUGUAUGCGAGUGAUCGGGUGGGAAACUCGUUCGCGGAAUGAAGGUGAUUCAGGGAUCGAAGAUGGGGCGCAAGUCUAUCUGCAGAUCCGGGCGGCUAAAAUAACUGUACGACCCAGAGCAUGGCUGUAGGGACCCGAAAGAUGGUGAACUAUGCUUGAGCAGGAUGAAGCCAGGGGAAACUCUGGUGGAAGUCCGAAGCGAUACUGACGUGCAAAUCGUUCGUCUGACUUGAGUAUAGGGGCGAAAGACUAAUCGAACCAUCUAGUAGCUGGUUCCCUC
rnacentral:misc_RNA from 1 species